GACGAACGCUGGCGGCGCGCCUAACACAUGCAAGUCGAGCGAUGAAAUUUUAACCGAUCUCUUCGGAGAGAAGAUAAAAUGGAUUAGCGGCGGACGGGUGAGUAACACGUGAGAAACCUGCCUUUCACAAGGGGAUAGCCUCGGGAAACCGGGAUUAAUACCCUAUGACACAUUUCCUUCGCAUGGAAGAAAUGUUAAAACUCCGGUGGUGAAAGAUGGUCUCGCGCCUGAUUAGCUAGUUGGUGGGGUAACGGCCCACCAAGGCCAUGAUCAGUAACCGGCCUGAGAGGGUGAACGGUCACAUUGGAACUGAGACACGGUCCAAACUCCUACGGGAGGCAGCAGUGGGGAAUAUUGCACAAUGGAGGAAACGCUGAUGCAGCGACGCCGCGUGAGCGAUGAAGGCUUUCGAGUCGUAAAGCUCUGUCCUAUGGGAAGAUAAUGACGGUACCAUAGGAGGAAGCCCCGGCUAACUACGUG
rnacentral:rRNA from 1 species